GCAUAACGCGAAGAACCUUACCAGGUCUUGACAUCCCUCUGACCGGUCCGUAACGGGACCUUUCCUUCGGGACAGAGGAGACAGGUGGUGCAUGGUUGUCGUCAGCUCGUGUCGUGAGAUGUUGGGUUAAGUCCCGCAACGAGCGCAACCCCUAUCCUUAGUAGCCAGCAGUUCGGCUGGGCACUCUAGGGAGACUGCCAGGGAUAACCUGGAGGAAGGCGGGGAUGACGUCAAAUCAUCAUGCCCCUUAUGAUCUGGGCUACACACGUGCUACAAUGGUGACUACAAAGGGAAGCAGCCUCGUGAGAGUGAGCAAAUCCCAAAAAGGUCAUCCCAGUUCGGAUUGUAGUCUGCAACUCGACCACAUGAAGCUGGAAUCGCUAGUAAUCGCGAAUCAGAAUGUCGCGGUGAAUACGUUCCCGGGUCUUGUACACACCG
rnacentral:rRNA from 1 species